rnacentral:rRNA from 1 species
GUAACAAGGUCUCCGUUGGUGAACCAGCGGAGGGAUCAUUACCGAGUUUACAACUCCCAAACCCCUGUGAACAUACCUAUACGUUGCCUCGGCGGAUCAGCCCGCGCCCCGUAAAACGGGACGGCCCGCCCGAGGACCCCUAAACUCUGUUUUUAGUGGAACUUCUGAGUAAAACAAACAAAUAAAUCAAAACUUUCAACAACGGAUCUCUUGGUUCUGGCAUCGAUGAAGAACGCAGCAAAAUGCGAUAAGUAAUGUGAAUUGCAGAAUUCAGUGAAUCAUCGAAUCUUUGAACGCACAUUGCGCCCGCCAGUAUUCUGGCGGGCAUGCCUGUUCGAGCGUCAUUUCAACCCUCAAGCUCAGCUUGGUGUUGGGACUCGCGGUAACCCGCGUUCCCCAAAUCGAUUGGCGGUCACGUCGAGCUUCCAUAGCGUAGUAAUCAUACACCUCGUUACUGGUAAUCGUCGCGGCCACGCCGUUAAACCCCAACUUCUGAAUGUUGACCUCGGAUCA